rnacentral:misc_RNA from 1 species
CGAAGAGUCAAGAAAUAAGCUCGAGAGUGCGUAUCUUACCCACGUUUUUUUACGUAACGCUACGCGCAACGCUGCACGUGACGUCAGCUUGUACUCUCAAUGUUGUCUACCAGUCAGUAUCGUCGGCGGACAUGAAAUUCUUGUGGAGAAAGCAUGCUCGAGCGCAGCCCAGAUCCACGAUGACUGUAAACGCAAGGUCAAUGUCCUAACAAGCAAAAAAAAGAAAAAAAUAUGUAUUUCUCUUUUCUGUCGAAUCGACACGAAGAUAAUUCCUCCGUUGAACAAAUAAAACAAGCGAGACGAUUUUAUUACAAUUAGAGUUACGAGAGUAAACGUUGGCGCGCGUUAAUCAACUUCAUAGGACACAGUUUUUUCUACGUAACACCGGCGAGUGACGUCAGAGCGUGCAGUGUGUCUGCUAAACCAACGUCGUCGACAGACACGGAAAUCUUACGGAGAAAGCAUGAUUGAGCGUAACCUAAAUCCCGAACGGCAAGGCCAACGUACGACGAAAGAAAAAACUACUAACCAUAGACAUACACAUAAGAAAUAUAGCCCACAGGUGCCUUAUGAAUAGCGUAGCCCUUGUUGAAAGAAAAUAAAGAGGUUUAAGGUUUCUCUUUCUCUUUCUAAGAUAUUCGUCUUUAACAGAUAGAAAGGAAAAGAGAGACCUCGUUAUUUACUUUUAUUUCUUUUUUAGCAAGGCUCAUUUUCUCAAAAUGGCAUCCGAGGUCUAUACUUCUAACGUCUAUGCUCUUAACGUACGUCACAUAAUAGAAACCGACUGGCAGUAUUCUAUG